rnacentral:rRNA from 1 species
GGAUUAGGCAUGCAAGUCGAACGGUAUGGUGCUUUCGGGCAUCAGAGAGUGGCGAACGGGUGAGUAACACGUAGGUGAUCUACCCUCAAAUCGGGGACAACCCAGGGAAACUUGGGCUAAUACCGGAUGAGUGCGGUAACGCAUAAAAGGUGGCGUAAGCUGCCGUUUGGGGAUGAGCCUGCGCCCUAUUAGUUAGUUGGUGAGGUAAUGGCUCACCAAGGCGAUGAUAGGUAGGCGGCCUUAACGGGUGGUCGCCCACACUGGGAUUGAGAUACGGCCCAGACUCCUACGGGAGGCAGCAGUCGAGAAUAGUCUACAAUGGACGAAAGUCUGAUAGUGCGACGCCGCGUGAACGAAGAAGCCCUUCGGGGUGUAAAGUUCUUUUAUAUGUGAGCAAUGCUUCUUAGGUGAAUAGUCUGAGGAGAGAGAUAUUAGCAUAUGAAUAAGCAACGGCUAACUCCGUGCCAGCAGCCGCGGUAAUA